AAUUUUGGACAAUGGGGGCAACCCUGAUCCAGCCAUCCCGCGUGUGCGAUGAAGGCCUUCGGGUUGUAAAGCACUUUUGGCAGGGAAGAAAAGCCACCGGUUAAUACCUGGUGGGGCUGACGGUACCUGCAGAAUAAGCACCGGCUAACUACGUGCCAGCAGCCGCGGUACUACGUAGGGUGCAAGCGUUAAUCGGAAUUACUGGGCGUAAAGCAUGCGCAGGCGAUUCGGCAAGAAGGAUGUGAAGUCCUGGGGCUUAACCUCAGGACUGCAUUCUUAACUGCCGGGCUAGAGUAUGUCAGAGGGGGGUAGAAUUCCACGUGUAGCAGUGAAAUGCGUAGAGAUGUGGAGGAAUACCGAUGGCGAAGGCAGCCCCCUGGGAUGAUACUGACGCUCAUGCACGAAAGCGUGGGGAGCAAACA
rnacentral:rRNA from 1 species